UACGGGGGGGGGCUAGCGUUGUUCGGAAUUACUGGGCGUAAAGGGCGCGUAGGCGGUCUGCUAAGUUGGAUGUGAAAACUCUGGGCUUAACCCAGAGCCUGCAUUCAAUACUGACAGGCUAGAGUUCUGGAGGGGAUAGCGGAAUUCCUGGUGUAGCGGUGAAAUGCGUAGAUAUCCGGAGGAACACCGGUGGCGAAGGCGGCUUCCUGGACCGACACUGACGCUGAGGCGCGAAAGCUAGGGGAGCAAACGGG
rnacentral:rRNA from 1 species